CGGGCCCGCGGACAAGUCCCGCAGACGCGCGCGCUCGCCCGGUCGCGUGUCAGCCGUCAUUACUCAAGCAACUCGCGCGCGUAAUCGUUUACGAUAAUUGUUGCAAAUUUUGGUGGAAUUAUCUAAGUAAACGGAGUUGAGUAAAGUGUGAUUAUUUCGCUAGAGCGACCAAGAUAGUGAAAUGACAGUGAAGACGCAGUGGGCGCAGCUGGCUGCAGUUCGGGGAGCGAUCAACCAAGUACUGCUUGUGUUUUUGAUCAAUGUACCGACGGUGUCGUUCGGGCUGGCGCUGGGCUGGGUGUCGCUGGUCAGCGGCGAGACAGCGGCGGGCGAGGGCGGUGGCGCGGGAGGCAAGGGUGGCGAUGAAGCGGGGCGAGCCGCUGUGAUAGCCUCCGUG
rnacentral:misc_RNA from 1 species